rnacentral:rRNA from 1 species
CCUACGGGUGGCAGCAGUGAGGAAUAUUGGUCAAUGGCCGCAAGGCUGAACCAGCCAAGUCGCGUGAGGGAUGACGGUCCUAUGGAUUGUAAACCUCUUUUGUAAGGGAGCAAAGGGCGCCACGUGUGGCGUUUUGCGAGUACCUUAAGAACAAGCAUCGGCUAACUCCGUGCCAGCAGCCUCGGUAAUACGGAGGAUGCGAGCGUUAUCCGGCUUUAUUGGGUUUAAAGGGUGCGAAGGCGGAAUGUCAAGUCAGCGGUAAAAUUUCGGGCCACAACCCCGUCGUGCAGUUGAAACUGGCGUUCUUGAGGGGGCGAGAAGUAUGCGGAAUGCGGGGUGUAGCGGUGAAAUGCAUAGAUAUCACGCAGAACUCCGAUUGCGAAGGCAGCAUACCGGCGCUCAACUGACGCUCAUGCACGAAAGCGUGGGUAUCGAACAGGAUUAGAUACCCGGGUAGUC